UCCUCGAUAGCUCAGUCUGGCAGAGCAGGGUGCUGUUAACACCAAGGUCACAGGUUCAAAUCCUGUUUGGGGAGC
rnacentral:tRNA from 1 species